GUGCUUACACUGCAAGUCAGACGGAGAUUAGAAGGAAGCUUAGCUAAUUCUAGACUUAGUGGCGCACGGGUGAGUAACGCGUGGAUAACCUGCCUGGAAGACCGGGAUAACAGCUGGAAACGGCUGCUAAUACCGGAUACGCUUAAGGGAACGCAUGUUCUUUUAAGGAAAGCAAUCGUGCUAUCAGAUGGAUCCGCGUCCCAUUAGCUAGUUGGUGGUGUAAGGGACCACCAAGGCGACGAUGGGUAGCCGGCCUGAGAGGGCGACCGGCCACACUGGGACUGAGACACGGCCCAGACUCCUACGGGAGGCAGCAGUGGGGAAUCUUCCGCAAUGGGCGAAAGCCUGACGGAGCAACGCCGCGUGAGGGAAGAAGGCCUUCGGGUUGUAAACCUCUGUCAUCAAGGAAGAACAGAUGACGGUACUUGGAGAGGAAGCCCCGGCUAACUACGUGCCAGCAGCCGCGGUAAAACGUAGGGGGCGAGCGUUGUCCGGAAUUACUGGGCGUAAAGGGCGCGUAGGUGGUCCAUUAAGUUAGAGGUGAAAGAUCGGGGCUCAACCCCGAGAUUGCCUCUGAUACUGGUGGACUUGAGUGCAGGAGAGGGGAGCGGAAUUCCCAGUGUAGCGGUGAAAUGCGUAGAUAUUGGGAGGACACCAGUGGCGAAGGCGGCUCUCUGGACUGCAACUGACACUGAGGCGCGAAAGCGUGGGGAGCGAACAGGAUUAGAUACCCUGGUAGUCCACGCCGUAAACGAUGAGUGCUAGGUGUUGCGGGUAUCGACCCCCGCAGUGCCGUAGUUAACAAAAUAAGGCCUCCGCCUGGGAAGUCGGUCGCAAGACUGAAAUUAAAGGAUUGACGGGGGCCCCCACAACCGUGGAUAUGUCGUUAAUUCGCGGAACCGGAAAACCUUACCAGGCUUGAAUCCUCUGAAACCCUAAAGAAUGGCACUUACCUUCGGGGAAAAAAAAACAGGGGGGCAGGUUUGGGCCGCCU
rnacentral:rRNA from 1 species